rnacentral:lncRNA from 1 species
CUCUUCCAGGAUUGGCUGUCCCUUCAUAACCAUAAGAUAAUUGAAACGGGGGGGGGGGCAAGGUUAAAAAAAACUUUUUUUUUUUAAUCAGCCAGAGGUUAAUGCAAGUGUUUAACAGAUGCUUCACUAUUAAAAUAUUUCCCCCCAAGUCUCAAAUAUUGAAGAAUCUCGAAUCAGGUAACCGAGCAAGAAGCGAGCAGAAGCCUAAUGCAGUUUUGUGAGGGGGAUCGAGGACUGAGCAGCAGGCGCGAGGACCCCAAGAAGGGGUGGCUGGGAGCGCGCGAGUUCUUUUUGCGGAGGAGGAUACACCGCGCGGCCGGGGAAGGGUGCUCCUUUGACCUGGCACAGGGACACCAGCCCCAUCGGAGACUUUGGAAGAUUUCAAAGUGCUGCUACCUCGAUUCCCCGAAUCUGUGGCGUGGACGGUAUCGGUGUUCUCCUGGUUUAACUAGCCUGUUUGGUGAGUAACUGAAUAUUUUUUACAGCGUGUUCAGAG